CCCCUAGACGUUCUGGGCUGCACGCGCGCUACACUGAAGGAAUCAGCGUGGCUUUCUCCCUGACCCGAAAGGGUUGGGAAACCCGUUGAAUCUCCUUCGUGAUAGGGAUUGGGGCUUGAAAUUGUUCCCCAUGAACGAGGAAUUCCCAGUAAGCGCGAGUCAUAAGCUCGCGUUGAUUACGUCCCUGCCCUUUGUACACACCGCCCGUCGCUACUACCGAUUGAACGGUUUAGUGAGGGCCUCGGAUUGGUCUCGGCCCGCUCUUUACCGGGCGGCGCCGUUGGUCGAGAAGACGCUCGAACUUGAUCGUUUAGAGGAAGUAAAAGUCGUAACA
rnacentral:rRNA from 1 species